AACACGUAAACCUCCUCCCUUCUGGACGGUGCUGGAAAAUUCCCGAAAAAUGCUUCCUUUGGGGGGGCCUUGUUUUUCCCUUAUCUGGCAGGAUCCUUAACAUUCAACCGGAUAGGGAAAUACUUUUCAGAUACAAUCGUACUUUCUUAAAAUAAUAAGACGGGGAAGAUUUUGACGGGAAAAAUAAAUAGCAUUUCAAAAUCUCUCCACUGUUAAUCUAUCGCUGAAAGGACUUCACAUCCCCUAUGUAUCUUUUAUUGGGAGGAGAGGGAGAAGAAACGAAAAGCGUUUUCAUAUUGAGAGUUCUGUCUUUUUGUCCUUGGUUAAAUCCAUCUUCUAUCCCUGGGGAUAGUAUCUGUAUGGGAGGGAAGGUUCCUCGGGUCUUGGCGCACAGAGGCUGCCCGCAUCUGUGUUAGAGGAGAGAAAAGGCAGAGAGCUGAGAAGGAGAGAGGAAGCUUGCAGGAGGGGCUGCAGGCUCCAGGGCAAAUUGGCUCUGCAAAACCGGAGCAGGUAGGGGUGUGGGCCGGGGAGGAUGCCCGAUUCAUGUUUGCUGGUUCCGGGUGUAAAUGAGCUCACCGCGGCUGACUUGAGGUUACCACAUGUUUAACAGCUCGCCUGCAGGAGCCAGGUCCAGCUCAUCGCUGCACAGGACGCUGCAGCGGGCCUGCCGAUUUCCCUGACCCUCCUCCUGGGAUCAGAGGCACUUCCCUUAUGGGAGCACGGAUGAGAUCUGCUGUUUAGGAGAGGCUGGGACUAGAGCUAGUGUCCAAGCAGUUGUCACUGGGAGAAGCGCUCACCUGGACUCCAGGUGGCAGGAGACGCCCAGAAGGAAGGUCCUCUGGGAAUGGCCUGGGAGGUCUGGGGGGCAGGGGAGGGGGGUGCCUCAAGGAGGGAACGGGGGAGAGCACAGUGGCAGGGAAGGAGCCUCGAAAUGCAAGAAGAAGCCCCCUCUCUCCUUUCUUCCUUCCUCGUGGACGCGUAGAACAAGGCAGGGCUCAGACGGCUGGACGCUAACUCGCGGGCAGGCUGUUAGUUGGUGUGUGUGGGCAAACAGGGAUGGCAGAAGCUGCACCCCGUCCUUCCUGUUCCGGGGAUCCCCGAGGCCCUUCUCUUCCUCAGUCAGAGACCUUCGUCUGUCCUCUAUCAGACCAUCCUCUGACUCACAGUAAUGCGUAUGACACGAAUAUAAAUACAGCAAUUGGCUAUGAGAAUACUUGAAAUUAAAAAACAUUUAAAAUGAGUUUAGGGCAAAUCGUUCUUUUUAAAAUCUCUGCUUGUCUCGGGUGUUUCCUAGCUGUUUUACUCCUGUGUCCAUAGGGCAGGGAAAACUCCAGAAUUGGGGCAGAGUCUUGGUGUAUUUAUACAAAGCAAAAGAAGUCUGUGGAUUUUCUUGAACCAGAACUCAGUGCCUAAGCGCUCUGGGGCACGGGCAUGAGGAGUGGGGUGAGGGUAAUACGUGCGUGUGUAGGCUCACCUAAAGUUCAAGUUUUCCUUCCCAGAUUAAAGCUGGAGGAGAGCUGUGCCUUGGAGUCUUUCCUCUGCAGUUCAAGAAUGACUGGUGUGUUUGAGAAGGCCAAGGCCGACUUUCCUGGAAUGUUCACUAGGGAGCGUCACCCAAGGUUGAGCACAGCGCUCAGUGGAGGCCAGCGAGGGAGGCAGCGCUCAGCACCUGGUGCUCGGCUUCCCUCCCUCCAUCAGGUGCCGCGAAACCAGCAGCAUUUCGCUCUGCGGCAGGUUCUCUUCUCCAGAAAGAGUUCCUUCCCUAUGCUGCUCACCAGCCCCCCCAAAACACACACACUCCCAGCAGUUCUGAUUUGCCCCAUCUUCUUCACAGCUCGGCUUCUCCUUUCUGUAGAGACACGGAGCCAAGUAAAAAAAAAGAAAGAAAGAAAGAUAUCAUCCUGUCAACAUGCUUCUGGUGGCUGGGGCCUCUGGCCGCCGGCCUGGGGUGAGGCUGACACAGGAGGCAUGGGAGGAGUGUGGGCCCUGAUGACCCUGAACCACUGAGACCCGCUGGAAGCCUGCCCCCCUCGGAGGCCCCGGCCGAGCCCCUCUGACUCCGUAUCUGUUCUGCCACUCGGCUUACAAGCCAGCCCCACAGCCCAAGCCCGGCGGUGGGCAAGGGCUCGGACCCCAGGGACGCUGGCCUCUGUAAGUGGGCUCGGGUCCGCUGAUGAGCGGCGGGCCCUGGAGGACAGGAGUCCUCCGUCCUGGCUGAAUCGGCCCCGCUACAAAGAGCCCCAGGCCCUCCGCACCUACAGCAGAAGCGCGCCUCUGCACCUGUGUCCGCUUCAUGCAAGUAACCUCGCCUGCCUCUGCCGCCGUCCCUGUCCCCGCCCCCGUCCCAGCGGUCGGGGUCCCGGCGGAACCGUGCGUCCCGGCGGUGCGGGGCUGGACGGGGCUGGGCGGGGCGCGGGGCGGGCUGGGCGGGGCGGGGCGGGGCGCGGGGCGGGGUGGGCGGGGCACGGCCGCCCGCGGCGCCAGUUCCCGUCCGCGCCCCGCCCCGCCCGCGGAGCCGGGAAGUCCUGGGCGGUGGGCGGCACUGGGCGCUGCAGCGGCGGGGUCUGCGCCUCGGGCGGUCGGGGUCCCGCGGAGCAGAGGAGGCAGGUGGGCCCGCGCGCGCGUGGGGGCCCCUCCCGCAGAGCGGGCGGGGCGGCCUGUUUACCGGAGCGCUGGCUGUGCGGCUCGGGCCGGGGCGCGCGUCCGGGGCGCAGGGUCUGGGAGAGUCGCGCAGGGUGGGGACUCAGACGCCGCCUGAGGCCGUGAUGCUUGCGUGGAGAGGGAAGGGUGAACGCCCUUAACCGGAGUCGGGCAAACAGUGCUUUCGGAGGCUCACACGUGGCUUGGAGGGGCUGCAGGGGUUCCAGAGGCCGGGGCAGGAGGCUGGGUCGUUUAGGGCAAGUGCUCUUUGCGCUGAUCCCAGGGGCCGUGGGCGGGUUAAGAGCUGCGUGGAGGGCCAGGACGACGCCUUCCUCUGCGCAGAGUGUAUGUGGGGAGAGGUGGGGGACCCGUUCUGUCCUGAGGCUCUCAACCGGCGGCGCGGAGGCAGCAGGCAAGGCUUGGUGGUGACGCGUGUGAUGGAUGAAGGGGGCCUGAGGCCACUGGUUGGGUGAGAGAGGGUCUCAUUUCCAAGGUGGGCCGGAGAAAUGUGGGCUGGGGGACGAUGGCCGUGCCUCGUUCAGUUUCAGAUGUGCCCCCAGUUUCAGACGACCUGCCCACCAGCGCGAACACCGCCGACCUCCCCGCUUCACAGACACAGCCUCCCCGUUCUCGCUGGCUGUACCCCGUCACCCCGACUGUCCUUUCCUGGACCCCCCCCUUCCUCCUCGCCUUUCCACUCCGAUGUCUCCCAGGCACUCGUUUCCCCUGUCAUGCUCAGCCUACUCUGGAGGCUUUGGGUGGGAGGAAUGAGGGAAGCUUCCAAAUCCGUGUUUCUGAGUCAAAAACAAAAAAAACAGAACAAAACAAUGCACACUGUCUCGGCCCCAUUUCCAGUGACCAAGAGUCACCGGAGGUCUGGAGAACAGGAAGGGCAGGCGCUCUGAGCUGGGUUAUGGGUUAUUGGAUAAUGCUUGGCCAGAGGGAGCCGAGGGCCGUCCCCAGACUGAGCAGCCACUGUAGGUGAAAGUUGUUUGCUUCACAGCCCAUUUUAUACCCGUUUCCAGGCUGUCUGGAUACAAUUCGGCAUCUCAUACAUUUUUCAAGUAUCAGCUGGCACAUGGGGAGACCAUGGCCUGAGUCACAACUGAAAAUCUCACGAGGAGUCUUCACGUCUGCAAGAAGAGACGUGGUGGGCUUCCAUGGUGGCGCAGUGGUUGAGAGCCCGCCUGCCGAUGCGGGGGACGCGGGUAAAAUUCCAGAGUUAUUGUCGGGUAACUCAGUUGAUGCACAGACCAGGCUGGUCCUCCACGUGUUCAGCGUCCUGGGAGCUCUCAGAAGCCGUCACUUAGGAAUUUUCAUGGAGCGUGAUCGAUUAUUAAUUUGUAGCCCCCCUCCCCACCCUGGAGCCUGGGGGAUGGGACUGAAAGUUCAAACAUCUCAUCAUGGUUGGACCUUUCUGGAGAGCAGCCCCACCCUACAGCCAUCCGGGAGCCACCAGGAUUGGCCUCCUUAGAACAAGUGAUGCUCCUGUCACCCAGGAAGUGCCAAGGGAUUUAGGAGCUCUGUGUCGGGAUCUGGGGGAUGGGCAGAGACCAAUACAUAUUUCUUAUUAUAUCACAGCAUUUAUUGUAUAUAUGGCCAAAUUGGUGAACUCUUAGUCAUUUAAGAGUUUUCAAUACAUUCUCUUGGGUUUUCUGCUCUGUGGUUAUGCAAGAGGCAAAUGACCUUAAGAGGGAGCACAUCCUUCUCAUACACUCCUGGUUCCUGUUUUUAGAAUUUGUUUUUUGUUUUGUUUUGUCUUGGUCUUUUUUGCACUAUCCAGGAAUUCUGAGACAGAGUGUGCAAUCACCAUAAGAAUCCUUGUGCUGCCCUUUGUUAUAAUUUAGAGCUUGGUAAUUCCCAGUGCCCAUCAGACUAUGAAGAAGUGUGGUAUAAAUUCGGCUUUUUGGAGGGAAGUUAACAAGACUUUUUGGAAGUCUUUCAAUUUCAGAUGAAUGUUCCCUUGGGGCCAGCACUCUCACUUUUAGAUUAUCUGUUGUACAGAAGCAUUUGCACACAUGCUCAGAUAUGUUCCAGGUUCUUUUCUUCAGCAUUAUUUAAAAAAUUCAGAUCUACAGGGGUUUUAAGUUAUUAUUUUUAAUUGUGGUAAAAACACACAUAAUAUAAAAUUUAUUAUCUUAAUCA